rnacentral:lncRNA from 1 species
UGCGUAAGAAAAAAUGCACCAUACAUUAAAACUUAAAGAAAUUUACUAGGUUGUGCCCAGUUCAGACACAGCAGUUCUAUCGGUUCCGGUAUCGGGUCAGAUUUAUCGGUCUCAGUUGCGGUCUUCGGUCUGUGUUCUUUUUUUAAUACAGGCUCAGUUUCGUAACAGGCACUUAAAACAAUGUAUGUCACUAGACAAUUGUGGCCCAGGAAAUUAUAUUAGGUACAAAAAGGUCCGUAGCUACUCUAUACAUACAGUGUGGUGUGCUCCAAGUUCCAGCAGGGGCCCUGAAAAUUCGUAAAAAGGGGACCUCAGUUUAAAAUGUAUUAGUGUAGAUGGGAGCUGGGCAUAGUGAAGUUUGGUAAAUCCAGGCUUAAGAAAUAUUAUAUUUAUCACAUUAUAGGGCCCUGACAAACUAAAUAGCGGCCCAGGAUCAAAAAUUUUCCCUAUCACUUCCCUUUUGUAUUUACACCGUUUGGUUCCUAAAACCACUUUUACAGAUCCAUAAGAAGCCCCUAAGUAUUUGGAACUGAGAUACGAUUGUAUCGGCCUGGUGACAUAAAAAAUUAUUGGAAAACGUUGCAAUUGCACAAAAGAAAUUUCAGAAAAUUGACUUAUUGACUUAAGGAAUAAAAACACAAACACCGAGACGGAUAAGCAAUAUAUAGCGGUAUCGGUUUGACUUUGACCGAAACCACUAGAAACACAAGACCGCAAAGGGCCCAAUCUUGGAAAUGAACGCAAGGCAAUGAAACAUGCAUUGUUUGGAAGAAAAGUAAUAAUACCUUCCUUUUUACGCCAUACAAUUUUUUUGGAGUUCCUGUUUGUGAGGUUGUCAAGAUUGUGGGAGUGAACAGUGAAUCUUUUUGGAGGAUCAAGUAGGCAUUUGAGACUGAUGACAGCUAUGAAUGCAAGCUUGGGAGUAAGAUCCACAAUAUAAAGCAGUUGGAUGAGUUCAUGAGUCCUUCCGGAGACAGUAUUGAGGAAAAUCUCCAAAAUAGAUGCAAAAGCCUUCAAAAUGACACAACCUAAUUGAAGGAAUGAUCAAAAAUGCCGUGAAAGAUAAGCACCUCAAGAGCCAAUGCCACCAAAAGUGAUACCUCAUAACAGCAACGGUAAAGGCACCAAAUUGACCAAGGUCAAAAUGCUCCUAAAUUCGGUGAAGACCCCUAGACAUUGGCACCUCCUUCCUCAACAGAUCUGACCCCAUUUGACGCCAUUAAUGCCAAGACCUGUGCUGUCUCCCACAGAAAUACUGUUGAUUUGAAGGCCUCUAUUGAGAGGGAGUAGAUGGGUAUGUCUGAUGAGUAUUUUAUCAGCGUUUGCAAGGCUUCAAUCGAGGCUUCAGAUGAGAUGACUUUUGGGACCUCAACAUGUGACAAACCCCUUGGACUAUUCUUUCUAAACACGUCUGCGGAAGAGGGUGUGUUUUACUCCUGACAAGAAUGUGAAAUCCCUAGAGGCUUUCAUGAAGAAAGAGUCGGCAAUGCUCAAGUCUGAUUCAUAUUCAAGAACUGCAAGGGAUUUAAGCCUCAUUGAGGCAAUUAUUAGAGCUGAAGGCUCAGAUUUACUUUUUAAAAUAAUAGAAUAUGUAAAACUAAAAAGAUUAGCCCUAUAUUUACAG